UACGUAGGGUGCGAGCGUUAAUCGGAAUUACUGGGCGUAAAGCGUGCGCAGGCGGUUUUGCAAGUCCGAUGUGAAAUCCCCGGGCUUAACCUGGGAAUGGCAUUUGGGACUGCAAGGCUGGAGUGCGGCAGAGGAGACUGGAAUUCCUGGUGUAGCAGUGAAAUGCGUAGAUAUCAGGAGGAAUACCGAUGGCGAAGGCAGGUCUCUGGGCUGACACUGACGCUCAUGCACGAAAGCGUGGGGAGCAAACAGG
rnacentral:rRNA from 1 species